rnacentral:hammerhead_ribozyme from 1 species
GCACUGCCGAGGAGUUCCACAAUAGGAUGAAACGGCCGUCUAGUGC